UUUAUUUCACCCCGGUGGAGUUGGAGGUCCUUAUGCUGGCCUACGGCGAGUAUGAGAACAUUUUUCGCUGCAAAUCCAACACGGCUGCAGCAGCGAAGGAGAGAGAGACGGCAUGGGAGAAAAUUGCUGCGCGAGUCAAUGCCUAAGUUUGAAUGUACUAUUCCACUGACGUAACAUAUAAGAUCGAAGCAUAGUCUAUAGUUAUGAAUAUAAGUAGGAAUGAAAUCUGAUUUUCAUUUAGGUGCAAUCCAACGGGAGAAAAAAGGACUUGGAAGCAGCUCAAAAUGAAACAUAAAAACAUAAUUCAAAAAGGUAAGGCAUAUUUUGCUAGGCUGUGAUUGCACCUCACUUUGGUUUUAAUUUAAUUAUUUUAAAUGGACUUUGGCUAUUAGACAAAGUCAAUAUGAAUUUAAACUAAAAUAUUAAUUCAGCGGCUACUUCAAAUUAUAAUUUAAACCCCAAACAAAAUGUAGUUUUUCAACGUCCUCUCACUUAAUUCUACACUUCGUGGAUUAACACUUGAUACAAACACAUUUAUAUUUUAGACCUAUUGAAGUCAUUUAAAAUGUGACGCUGUAGCCUACACCAACACUGAUUAAAAUAGUAUUUUAAAAUAAACAUUGACUUCUGCUCAGCCAACAGAAAGAAGGCAGAGGCCCGAAAAACGGGUGGAGGGCCACCUCCACUACAUCUGACGGAGGCUGAGGAGCUGGCCCUCAGCCAAAACAGGGGUCGCCCUGUGGCUGAAGGCAUCCCCGGGGGAAGCUCAUCUGAGCCUGUCACCCCCCAGGACACAAGUCCCUACAUCAGAUGCAA